rnacentral:rRNA from 1 species
GUUGAACGCUGGCGGCAGGCCUAACACAUGCAAGUCGAGCGGGGUUUUCGGACCUAGCGGCGGACGGGUGAGUAAUGCGUAGGAAGCUGCCCGAUAGAGGGGGAUACCAGUUGGAAACGACUGUUAAUACCGCAUAAUGUCUACGGACUAAAGUGUGGGACCUUCGGGCCACAUGCUAUCGGAUGCGCCUACGUGGGAUU